GGCGCUCUGCGACCAUGGGCAGAGAGUACAUUGCCCAUCUCGUCUAUUAGCAUGUAAGGCACGCAGUCACCUCUUUCUUAUGAUGUACGCUUUAUGUAGCAUCAGUACUAUAACAACAUACACUCUAUUUAUUAUUAAUGGAAGUCUAUUUUUGUCAUCCGAUCUUCUUUUUGGUAGCUUUUUCAACCUUAAAACUUUCUGGUGUUACGGUCAAAAUGCUAUGUUUAUAUGUCGCGUUUUCGGCCCCCAAGAAAACAUAGUUGUACAUUACACGAUGAUAUGUUUACAUGCAAGAAAAUUGUGCAGACUCAUUACUGUGAAUCUCAUAUGGGCUCCUCCAUGCAGGUCAAGAAAAGUAACCUUGCAUCCUUUGCCCCAAUCAGAAAUGGCCAUGAUCAAGAGGGUCCACGUUAAAAACUGAAAGCACAAGACAUGAUAUGUGCUUUGAUUAUCUUUCUCAUUCACCUUAGCAAAAGCAACGCAUCUUGGCAGAUGUGCAAAAGCAAAAGGAAAAAAAUUGUUUAUCCGCAUAUACAUAGCGGGAGGAAUACUUAUAUGGCCAAGGCUGCAGAGUAGUAGAUGGAGCCUAUGGGUUGGAAAAGAACCGGUUCCAAACCUGCGUAGCUAGAACUAGCUACGAAAGAGGUGAAGGAAAGAGCAAGAGUGUGGUGGAUAGUUGUGUCCAAGACACACUCCAUUGUGGGCUUAUGACCUACGUUUGUAUUUGGGAAAAAUUGAAUUUUCAAGUUUUUUUCUUUCUUUUUACCUGCAAAAAAAGAAUUUCCAAGUUUUUUUUUCUUCAUCUAGCUGGACGUAAGAUGAUUUUCCUUUCGACAUGCAUCUCCGAUGGUCGAGUUAUUAACGACUUAAUGUCGGGCCUGGAUGUCCCUGGUUGCUCCUGUAUGAGCUUCCUAGUUCUUGCGCUGUUAACAGAUAUGUGUACGUGCUGCAGGAAGGCGUACUAUCAUGAUGAACUAGAUCGGGCUCGUGCCUUGACGCGAGGGUGCCGGUCCCAACGUUUUGGUCAACCGGGUAAUUGUAAGUUAGUAGGAAUCCAUGUUUUG
rnacentral:lncRNA from 1 species